UACACUCCUACGGGAGGCAGCAGUGGGGAAUUUUGGACAAUGGGGGCAACCCUGAUCCAGCAAUGCCGCGUGAGUGAAGAAGGCCUUCGGGUUGUAAAGCUCUUUUGUCAGGGAAGAAACGGUGGUGGCGAAUAACUACUACUAAUGACGGUACCUGAAGAAUAAGCACCGGCUAACUACGUGCCAGCAGCCGCGGUAAUACGUAGGGUGCAAGCGUUAAUCGGAAUUACUGGGCGUAAAGCGUGCGCAGGCGGUUGUGUAAGUCAGAUGUGAAAUCCCCGGGCUCAACCUGGGAAUUGCAUUUGAGACUGCACGGCUAGAGUGUGUCAGAGGGGGGUAGAAUUCCACGUGUAGCAGUGAAAUGCGUAGAUAUGUGGAGGAAUACCGAUGGCGAAGGCAGCCCCCUGGGAUAACACUGACGCUCAUGCACGAAAGCGUGGGGAGCAAACAGGAUUAGAAACCCUAGUAGUCCCAUGAU
rnacentral:rRNA from 1 species